GGCGGGCUGGAAACCUGGGGGUCGCACCUCCUCUAAGUCGCAGCCCCACGUGGCCGUCGGAGGCACUGAGCCCUCCACGCUGAGGCCUUGGCUGCCGCUGCACCGUCCCGGCAGGGGGCCGCAUGUGCAGACCCUCAGCGGGGCCUCGGGAUGGCGGAGUCUGCCAUUCACGGGCAGCUCUGAGAACCAGCUCCUUCCUCUGAGCCUGACGUCUGCCGCCAGCGACUCGGCUGCCACCUGGCCCAGAGCAGGCGACGGGAUGCUGGAGACGGACGGGGGACGCUCAAGUCACAGGGCCUGAAAACACUUGGAUCUCUCUGAGCUGGAGAAGCAGGGCCACUGGGGACCCAGACCCCUGCAGCCCUGGCCCUGGCCCCGGCCCGGCUGUGCUGGGCAGAGCAGCUGACUCCUCAGGACUCAGUUUUCCUUCUUGUGGGAAUGGGUGCGUUGGCCAAGAUAGGGGUUCUGAACGUGGGGCGAAAUCAGGGGGUCUGUGAACUUCGAGACGCUUCUGCAGUUAUGAAUGAAGGCCCUUGGCCACAGCAGAGUCAGUAGUAUCUGCCACUUUGCCACACACAAAACCCCAGGCAUUUUCGUAUCAGUGCCUGUUGUGGGAGACACCUUGAAAUAUGGCUCACCUCGAUUAUUAUUUCCAAGUUAAGGUGGUUCGUGGACCUGCCACUAUCAUGCUAUUUAAUGCAUUAAAAAAGAAGCACAUACAGCGCCAGUGGCAUAGUGGUUAAGUUCGUGCACUCUGCUUCGGUGUCAUGGGGUUCACAGGUUCAGAUCCCAAGCACAGGCUUACACACUGCUCAUAAAGUCACGCUGUGGCACUGUCCUACAUAUAAAAUAGAGGAAGAUCGGCACACAUGUUAGCUCAGCAACAAUAUUCCUCAAGCAAGAAGAGGACGAUUGGCAACAAGUGUUAGCUCAGGGCCAAUCUUCCUCACCAAAAAAAAAAAUUAAAAAAAAAACACGUGCAAUAGCCAAAAGACAGAAAAAAACCCACAUGUCCAACAACCAACAAAAAGAUAAAUAAAUUGUGGUCUAUCCAUACCCUGGAAUAUUAUUCAGUCAUAAAAAGGAAUGAAGUUCUGACACACGCUACAACAUGGACGAACCUCAAAAACGUUACGUUAAGUGAAAGAAGCCAGACACAAAAGACCACAUAUUUAUGAUUCCACUCUGUGAAAUAUUCAGAAUAGAUAACUCAGCUCCAUGGAGACAGAACACAGAUCGGUGGUUGCCGGGGGGGCGGGGGGUGGAAUGAGGAGCAACUGUUUGAUGGUCACCGAGUGUCCUUUUGAGAUGAUGAAAAUGUUCUGGAAGUAGAUCGAGGUGGUGGCUGCACAGCAUGGUGAGUGUCUAAAUGCCACUGGAUUGUGCGCUUUAAAACGUCUCAUUUUAUGUCAUGUGAAUUUCUCCCCAACAAAAAGGAAGCAUAUAUAACAGUAUCUCAUUUUUCAAAUCCUCUGGUAAUUGUAUUUCAGUGCUAGAACCCUAGGACAUUUCUUCCAUGCAUUUAACUCCCUUGGCCUCGCCAGACGCCAGGUCGGGGUCCCCUGGACUGGAAGCUCUCCACGGCCACUCUUGGAACCUGUUUUUACCAGGAGAGGUGCAGUCCCACCUCCUGGUCCCCCCCAGGCCCAUCCUGGCUCCAUGUAGAGAAGUUGCUGGUGGAAGACGAGCGCCGGUUUCCUCCGGCUUCACCGCUAAGGGGGCUGGGAGCAGACAGACGAGGCAGAGCCCCCAGGCUGGCCCUCUCGUCUUGCACUUAGCGUCAGUGUGGAAGGCUCUCCCACCUCUAGGAGUCGUCUCUGAGAAUGCAGACGUCCCGGGAGAGGGGAGACCCAGCCGGGUGGAUCUGCAGGCAGGUGAGGCUGGACCAGGUAGCGGGUAAGAAGAAGCAGCAGGAGGUAAGAGGGGAGGCUGACAGAGGACCCGAGGGUACGAGGCUGCCCUGGUGUGGGCCCAAGACCGGCUUGCGUCCCUGAACAGGGAAUGUCAUGUUACUCUGCACCCAGGAGGUGCUGCCCGUCCCCCUGGGAAGGGUGCAGAGCACCCUGGCACCUCUCCCUGAUCCCACCAGUGCUGAGCCCACCCUCAUGCCCCCACCCCCACUGGAAAGUGCAGCCCUCCAGCCUCUGAAUGCAGUGCUGCUGAUUUUUUUUCUUUUUUUGGUGAAGAAGAUUUGCCCUGAGCUAACAUCCGUUGCCAAUCUUCCUCUUUUUGCUUGAGUAAGAUUAUUGCUGAGCUAAGCUCCGUGCCAGUCUUCCUCCACUUUAUAUGUGGGACACUGCCACAGCAUGGCUUGAGGAGUGAUGUGUAGGUCCAUGCCCAGGAUCCGAACCUGUAAAGCCUGGGCCACUGAAGUGGAGCGUGGGAACUUAACAACUAUGCUACUAGGCUGGCCCACCGGCCGAUUAUUCGUGACUGGAAACUUUGAUUCCCGGCGGCUGUUUCCCACCCUUCUGCAUCCACAUUCAUGUGCCCCCACCUGCUCAUAAACUCCUGGGGAGAUAAAAAGCAGUACAUGCCGACUCUGCUGGGCAACGUGCGAGGUGUCUGUAAGCAUCUCGUGAUCGCAUCUCGUCCUUCCUGCAAGCCCACGCAGUAGGCACUGUUCACGGAUGGAGAAACUGCAGCUCAGAAAGGUGAACCUGUCGCUCGUGCAGAGCUGGGACUCAAACCAGGAUUCAGGCUCUCUCCUUCAUACCCCCUCCUGCCCUGGGAACGUCACCUCUGUCUUCAGAGUCCUCUCGAUGCUGCAUAAUCGAUCACCUCAACAGAAUGCUGCCGAGCUCCUGCCGCGAGCCAGGCACUGUGCUCGUGGGCCUGGGAGUACGGUCAUAAACAGAAGCUCAUGUUCCAGAUAAAUCGACCAAAAGGAGACCUGGAGACAAGGAACUCAGCAGGGAACCUCAGACGGCAGUGAGUGCUGCCUGAGUCAGGACGGCCCAGGUUCUGCUGCAGAAACAGAGCAGCUGAACUGACAGGUCUCAUCGUCACUUACCCCUCAGCACACGUGGCCCAGCAGCUCUUCCCGGCAGCUGUCCUCCUAGCGGUGGCUCCGGGAUCCAGGCUCCCCACAUCCUCGGGCUCCUCCAUCUUACACUAGUGGUCACCUCCGUCACUGUAGAAGAGGAGUAGAGAAUGCCAACAGUCCCAUCAGAGGCUCUGAGGCAAGGUCUGGAGGUGGCCUGUGUCACCUCUGUCCACAACCCACUGGCUCCGACCUAACCAAGGGAGAUUGGACAACUCGGUCUCCUUCUAAAUGCAGGAAGAAGAAAAUGAAAUGGAUUUGGUGAAGACAGGACAGUGUCUCUACCACGCAACGAGAAAGGAGAAUUUGUUUAACCGGCCGUGGGGACUCUAACAUGCAGCUGGGAUGAGAACCACUCGUCUAGGACCUUGCAGUUCGCGGUGACAGGUUUGGGUGUCAGUCUCGAUGCAAGUACGCCGAUGCCCAAUAAAGGAUUUCCAGAGGAGAAAGAGACGAAUCGGGGACGCGGGAAGAGUGGAGACCUCCAGACGCCGCCAAGCCAAAACUCAAAGCAGGAGAGACGAGGCGAGAAGGCGAGCCUCCUGCCUGGGUCGCCAGCCACUCUUCAGGAGCUGAUCCCUCCUGCGACCGCGUCUGACUCCCACCCCACCAGGGCACUUCCUAUAGUUAACGGCUAGGUUUUAAUUAAACAUUGAUUUGCUACUAAUUAGUCUAAUGAUUCGUCUUGGGGAGGAGACAGUGCUGUCAGACCCCAUAAAGGAGGCGGGGAAGACAACGCAAGAUUAUGGCUUAGGUGGAAAUGCUAUUUCUCCCUCCCUCUGGGCCAAAUGUUUUCUAUGGUUCUGGUCUAUUCUAGAUGAUGCUUUCAGUGUGAAUUUUCCUAAUCGGUUUGAGUCUGAUGCAGUCCCAGGUGACCGAGGCAGAGAAGAUCGAAUCUAUUCGCCUUUUCAUCAGAUUUCAGCCUCUUAACGCAGCUAGAGAGCCUUUCCCCACUUAGAGAGGAAUUAGUUUCUGUCGCCACAAUGAAGUCAUCCUGGGCUGAGAGGCUGUCCCCUCCCAGGUCCUUUUUCGGGGGUCAGACCUCGCCAAGGACUUCUGAGACGCGAGCACGGCUGAGCUUCUGCCCCAGAGCAGAUUUUGCCAGCACCUAAUGCUCCG
rnacentral:lncRNA from 1 species